rnacentral:rRNA from 1 species
AUUGAACGCUGGCGGCAGGCCUAACACAUGCAAGUCGAGAGAGCGGCGGACGGGUGAGUAAUGUAGGGGGACUGCCCGAUAGAGGGGGAUAAAUACUGGAAACGGUAGCUAAUAACGCAUACUAUCGGAUAACCCAUAUGGGAUUAGCUAGUAGGUGAGGUAAUGGCUCACCUCGGCGACGAUCCCUAGCUGGUCUGAGAGGAUGAUCAGCCACACUGGGACUCAGCCACGUCCCAUACUCCUACGGAGGCAGCAGUGGGGAAUAUUGCACAAUGGGCGCAAGCCUGAUGCAUCCAUGCCGCGUGUAUGAAGAAGGCCCUAGGGUUGUAAAGUACUUUCAGUCGGGAGGCGUUACCGACAGAAGAAGCACCGGCUAACUCCGUGCCAGCAGCCGCGGUAAUAC